GACAGAGGAUGCAAGCGUUUAUCCGGAAUCACUGGGCGUAAAGCGUCUGUAGGUGGUUCAAUAAGUCAACUGUUAAAUCUUGAGGCUCAACUUCAAAAUCGCAGUCGAAACUAUUGGACUCGAGUAUAGUAGGGGUAAAGGGAAUUUCCAGUGGAGCGGUGAAAUGCGUAGAGAUUGGAAAGAACACCAAUGGCGAAAGCACUUUACUGGGCUAUUACUGACACUGAGAGACGAAAGCUAGGGUAGCAAAUGGG
rnacentral:rRNA from 1 species